UGUAUCGACGGGGAGUCGAACACAGCCCGCCCGCGUGGCAGGCGAGCAUUCUACCGCCGAACCACCACUAG